AGCGAACGCUGGCGGCAGGCUUAACACAUGCAAGUCGAACGGGCGUAGCAAUACGUCAGUGGCAGACGGGUGAGUAACACGUGGGAACGUACCUUUUGGUUCGGAACAACACAGGGAAACUUGUGCUAAUACCGAAUAAGCCCUUACGGGGAAAGAUUUAUCGCCGAAAGAUCGGCCCGCGUCUGAUUAGCUAGUUGGUGAGGUAAUGGCUCACCGAGGCGACGAUCAGUAGCUGGUCUGAGAGGAUGAUCAGCCACACUGGGACUGAGACACGGCCCAGACUCCUACGGGAGGCAGCAGUGGGGAAUAUUGGACAAUGGGCGCAAGCCUGAUCCAGCCAUGCCGCGUGAGUGAUGAAGGCCCUAGGGUUGUAAAGCUCUUUUGUGCGGGAAGAUAAUGACGGUACCGCAAGAAUAAGCCCCGGCUAACUUCGUGCCAGCAGCCGUGGUAAUAGUCACGUCG
rnacentral:rRNA from 1 species